CUAAGGGCCGCCGUCCUCGCACUGGCUCGCUGACGGGCUAGGGUCGAAAGACUAGCGAGGUCAUUUACGUCAGAUAAGCUUUAGGUGAGUCACGGGCCUAGAGACGAAAA
rnacentral:tmRNA from 1 species